rnacentral:ncRNA from 1 species
GAGUGGUUCCGGGGUCGGUGAAAGUCCGAGCCGGCGGUGACAGUCCGCGACCCGAUGACGAUCAGCAGGUCGGAUUCGGUUGAUGUGGUGAAACUCCACGACCGACGGUGAAAGUCCGGAUGGGAGGAACCGCGG